rnacentral:rRNA from 1 species
AGAGUUUGAUCAUGGCUCAGAUUGAACGCUGGCGGCAGGCCUAACACAUGCAAGUCGAGCGGAAGAAGGGGGCUUGCUCCCGGAUUCAGCGGCGGACGGGUGAGUAACGCGUAGGAAUCUACCUAAUAGUGGGGGAUAACGUUUCGAAAGGAACGCUAAUACCGCAUACGUUCUGAGGAAGAAAGCAGGGGAUCGCAAGACCUUGCGCUAUUAGAUGAGCCUGCGUCCGAUUAGCUAGUUGGUGGGGUAAAGGCCUACCAAGGCGACGAUCGGUAACUGGUCUGAGAGGAUGAUCAGUCACACUGGAACUGAGACACGGUCCAGACUCCUACGGGAGGCAGCAGUGGGGAAUAUUGGACAAUGGGGGCAACCCUGAUCCAGCCAUGCCGCGUGUGUGAAGAAGGCCUUCGGGUUGUAAAGCACUUUAAGCGGGGAGGAAGGCUCUAUGGCUAAUAUCCAUGGGGAUUGACGUUACCCGCAGAAUAAGCACCGGCAAACUUCGUGCCAGCAGCCGCGGUAAUACGAAGGGUGCGAGCGUUAAUCGGAAUUACUGGGCGUAAAGCGCGCGUAGGUGGUUUGGUAAGCGAUAUGUGAAAUCCCCGGGCUUAACCUGGGAACUGCAUGUCGAACUGCCAGGCUAGAGUAUGGUAGAGGGGUGUGGAAUUUCCUGUGUAGCGGUGAAAUGCGUAGAUAUAGGAAGGAACAUCAGUGGCGAAGGCGACACCCUGGACCGAUACUGACACUGAGGCGCGAAAGCGUGGGUAGCGAACAGGAUUAGAUACCCUGGUAGUCCACGCCGUAAACGAUGUCAACUAGCCGUUGGGGGGCUUGUCCCUUCAGUGGCGGAGCUAACGCGAUAAGUUGACCGCCUGGGGAGUACGGCCGCAAGGUUAAAACUCAAAUGAAUUGACGGGGGCCCGCACAAGCGGUGGAGUAUGUGGUUUAAUUCGACGCAACGCGAAAAACCUUACCCGGUCUUGACAUCCUGGGAACUCGCUAGAGAUAGCUUGGUGCCGCAAGGAGCCCAGAGACAGGUGCUGCAUGGCUGUCGUCAGCUCGUGUCGUGAGAUGUUGGGUUAA